rnacentral:lncRNA from 1 species
GCAGAAAGAAAGCACCCAUCUCACGAACUAAAAUAAGCACUGUAGACUUUUCCCAUUUCAAGCUGCAGCUAUCACAGUCCUGAGCUGCUGCUGCUCAUCAGAAUGAGUGAAGCACAAGAAAGAUGUAACAAAUCAAUAUAUUAAAUUCAGCCCAGGGAAUGAGAGAUGUUUUGUUACUCUGUCAGACAAGCCUCCCAGUUUUGGCGCUGAGACUUCUCAAAUCUCACUUGCUGUCAGGGCAGAGAGGAUUUCUUCUUUCUGUAGAAACAUUAUAUUUUACUGAGCAUUUACAGAGCCUUGGGGACAAGCUCAGAGCCGAGGGGAUUUAUCCCAGCUCUGCUGCCUACCCCAGAGCCCAGGGAGUUGACCCAGGGAACAUCCAUCCCACUUUCUGUUUUACAAAAAAAAAAAAAAAAAAAAAAAGGAGGAGGAGAUUUGGAACAACUUUUCUGGACUCGCACACACUCACCAGCCAAGACUUCUCCUACCAGCACAGCUAACCAUAUUAACGGAGAAAAAAUCUGUUGUCUCUCUCCUGUAAAACCAACUAAACGCUGUGUGACUUCCAAACGAGAGAGCUGCAGAGGCAAAACGAAGAGGGAGGAGAGAGGAGGAGAAAGGAAAGCUCUCGGAGGGCUGAAAUGCAAGGACACGUCUACUGACUUACUGUUGCAACCGAGGAAAGUGCCAUUCGACUCCAUGGCCGCCAAAGAAGGUGACGUGCAGCAGCCGAAAGGGCUUCGGGAAACAGCUGUGCCCAGAUGUUAGCUAGCUGCGGGUGGAAGCCAGACCCAGCAGGCUCCCUCUGCCCCCCGCUGCAGCGAUCCCCAACGUCAGUUCCCUUCCCCUUGGCUGCAAAGAUGUCUUCGCUAUGACUCCUCAUUUAUUUCUCUCCCGCAUCCGCGCGCCCCAUGCAUCGACUGAAGCCAAGCGCUGAGCCCCAGCGCCGUGCUGGCCCUGGCUCCUCCCCAUUAAAUCUGGCCGUCAUCGCUGCCCAGCCUCCUGCUUCUGCAGCUCUGAGCACUGCCUCUGUUUGCAGCUGGCUCCAACGCUCUGCUCCUUUGCUUUAUGCCUUCCAGAAGACGCCGAGCACCCAAAAAGACCCCGCAGUCUGUAAAUCCAAGGGAAGAGCCCAGAGCUGGAGGCAGUGCCUGGGGUUGGAAGGGCUUGAGUGCACUGGUGGGGACUUAUUUCAUGACGGGACAAACACAGCAGCAAAACAACAGGUCAGAAAUUGCCAGCGUAGAGCUGUAACCACAAACGCUCACAGAGCGGGUGCUUAAAGCAGAAGAAGGUUUGCAGCCUUCUCAUUUGAUACCAUGAAGCAGAAGCAGAAAAAACUCCUCGCUGCCUUCAGGCUUUUACUGAGCUGUUUUCCUUUGUCCUUUCCCCCUCUCUUUGUUCAGAUGUUUUAAAGGGGUGAAAGGAUAAUGCGGGGAAAAGAGGGAAGGAGAAAGAAAUGGAAUCCACAGUGGGAAAGUAAAGCUCCUACUUGAAUGGUAGAGGGAGGUUUUCAAUCAUUGUUUUGUUACUGUUUAUUUUUGUUUCUGGUUGUUUAAGUGAUCUCUAUGCAAUUGAUGCAGCUGUCAGAAGCUUCAAGUCCCUUGUUCCUCAGCAGCUGUGAGCCUGGCAGCUCCACCAACAGAAGGCAAAAGCCUCUCACUGAGUGGGACAGAUCUGAGGUGCACAUGGUGAUAAAUCCUUUGGGACUAUUUGCCCCUCCCUGCCAGAAGUCAGGCCGCUCCUUCAAGAGCCCAGUUUUCCAACACACAGGCUGCCCUAAUAUAGCAGAACUCCUCUGUGCUGGCACAAAGUGCAAGAGCAAGCAAGUGGAGAACAUACAGAGCUGACAUUUUGCUUUGUGCCCUUCAAAAGCUCAAGCUCAACCUCAACCCUACAGCCUCCACCAUCCCUUCAGACACUUUCGGAAGGACCCAGGAAGGAAUACCCCCGUUUUGCAAACACAUGGACAAGGAAAUGUUGUUUUGGGCAGGGUGAAACUUUUGGGCUGGAAGGCAGCUGGAGGCCUCCGAAAGAUUCUUGUGGAAUCUUUCAAAACAAAUCCUUCCUUAAAAGCCCUAAAGUAGGGGGAUUUCCAGAGGACACCGCCAAAACCCAUCACCCUUUCAGCUGAUGGGGAGGAGAGGUACAGAAGGGACUGUAGGAGAGGCCUGUAGAUGAGUCAGACAAACUGGAAACUCCGGUAAAGCAGUGGUGGUGAGGGCAUGAUAGUAGCUGUCAGAAGGGAGGAGAGGUAGAGAAGGGCAGUUUGAAGGUGAUGAUGGGAAACAGCAUUACAGCAAAUCCUUUUCCUUUCUCUGUACCCCACACCGCAGACUGGAUAGCAUUGCUUCACAACAGUUGCAGCACUGUAGCACCUUUCUGCCACCCUAAGCUAAGGCAUCAUUCCCCUAACUCCUUGGCACAUUUGAUGUUUUACUUGUGCUCAAGCGUUUGCAGACAGCCUUGCAUUCCUGGCAUUCAUCAGAAAGUACAGCAGUCGUCAUCAGAGCCAGUGAAACCCUGCGGCAAACACAGUGAGGCUGAGAUCAUAGAGCACAGGUCUCACCAGACCCUUGUUGCACAAGGCAGCAUUCCUUUUGGCUGCAUUUCUGCAUGCAUGCCAUGCACACUUCAUGUCCUUUUUCCUUUGCACUGCUGAAACCAAUAUAUGUGUAGAAUAGCAAUGAAACCAAGGUGGCAUGAGGAGCUACGGGGCUCCUGUAAGCUGCAGAAAUCCUGCUAAUAUAUCCUAAGAUUAAAAGAGCAAUAUAAGACUCCCAUCAGACUGAAGUCCCUGAUGCCCAUUUCAGAUCAUAGCACUCACUGUUUGCCUUCCUUGUUUGGGUUUUGGCUGAUCCAGGAGGCUCAGGGUGUUAAGGAGGAUCGACCUUUUCCCAGUUAAACCUGUAUUACAGCUGAGAGGCAAGUUUAAUAUUGGUGAUAAAAUGCAAAAUGUCAGUGUUCAUCUGGAAGCCCUAAGAAAACCAUUUGCUUUGUAACAAAAUGCAUAGAUUAGAUAGGCUACAUCUGCAUGGUCAUAUCUUUUGGUUUAUUUUUUAAAAGUCUGUCUGAAUUUCUGAAUGCUUCUUUCCUAUUCUGAAUACACCUCCUAAGCUCUGUCCACCAACCUCACAACCAGUUCUGUGGCUGUUGGUCUUUGAGACCGAACCUGGAUUUGAAGGGCAGAGUUCAGUAUAACUAAAAUUAAACAUCACCUCUCUGUGUAUGUUGUCUCCACUCACAAUCCUGCUGCUAAGGGCCAAAGUUGAAUAAACACAAUUUAUUCUGAGCAGAUCCAUCAUGGCAUCUGUAAGGUGGCAUUUCAGUGCCCUUGUUAGGCACGGACAGUUUGUCUUUCUCUGCUUUAUCGGCUUUAAAAAUUAACCUUUACAGUGAAAGUAACAAUGAGACUGUAAUUUAUUUGUUUUUUGUGGUUGCUUACUUUCCUUCUGCCCAUGCUGACUAAGCCCUAUUUAUCUCUUCAUAAAACUGCUUCCUCCAGGAUUUUACAGCAGGGGAGUUAACACGCACUGAUUGUUUCAUGGGAGGAACACACCUUUUUCAGCAGUGAAGACAAAAGGUGUUUCACGCUGAUAAUAUGUUGCAUUCCCUGCCUGUGCAGGGCUCUGGGAUUCAAAGGACUGGUCCUGCUGCUCGGUCGGCUCCAUCAAACGUUUACUCUUGGGCAUUCUCCCAGCGCUGCCAGGUCUCUGACAACUGCUGGUGUUCCACCUCGUGAGAAGCACACUGCAGUGCGGGGAAGGGCAGCCUCACAUCUCCGCAGGAGCUGGCAGAGCUCAGCCCCAUUGGAAAUCAGCUUCCUGUAGGAGGUGAAUUGGAAAAAAUUCAGAAAUGGGAUUUAUGGCACUGAAAGAACAGCGAGAUUAUUGGGUUUGUGAAGGACUUACUGGACAAAGUAAACCACUGCAAUUUAUAAAUAAGACUGAAACGUAAUUAACACAGUGCAGUACCAUGAAGUUCAGAGAAUGGAUAGGGCAGCCAAAUUCCUUGUUUAUCACCACAGGCAGCUGUGCCAAAAUAGCUUCAGAAGGAGGUUGAUGCAUUUGAACAAUUUAUUGCAGCAGAGUAGUACAUGGCCACAGGAAAAUGAAGCUACAGAUGCUGGGAUGUGUCAAGCUGAAUCUGCUCUGGCAUAAUCCCAUACAAGUCCCAUUAAAAUUAAUGAGGUACUUCUGCUUGAGCAGAAGAUAAAUUUUACUUUCUAAGCUAGAAAUACGCCUGUCAAACUCUGUAUAUCUUAAGUGUUUGGUGAGUUUCCAACCCCCCUUUGUCCAUUCCAUACAAGUAAUCAGAACCAGCUCUAACCACCAAAUAAAUCAAUAAAUG